rnacentral:rRNA from 1 species
UGGGGAAUUUUGGACAAUGGGCGAAAGCCUGAUCCAGCAAUGCCGCGUGUGUGAAGAAGGCCUUCGGGUUGUAAAGCACUUUUGUCCGGAAAGAAAUCCCUGGCUCUAAUACAGUCGGGGGAUGACGGUACCGGAAGAAUAAGCACCGGCUAACUACGUGCCAGCAGCCGCGGCAAUACGUAGGGUGCAAGCGUUAAUCGGAAUUACUGGGCGUAAAGCGUGCGCAGGCGGUUUGCUAAGACCGAUGUGAAAUCCCCGGGCUCAACCUGGGAACUGCAUUGGUGACUGGCAGGCUAGAGUAUGGCAGAGGGGGGUAGAAUUCCACGUGUAGCAGUGAAAUGCGUAGAGAUGUGGAGGAAUACCGAUGGCGAAGGCAGCCCCCUGGGCCAAUACUGACGCUCAUGCACGAAAGCGUGGGGAGCAAACAGGAUUAGAUACCCUGGUAGUCCACGCCCUAAACGAUGUCAACUAGUUGUUGGGGAUUCAUUUCCUUAGUAACGUAGCUAACGCGUGAAGUUGACCGCCUGGGGAGUACGGUCGCAAGAUUAAAACUCAAAUGAAUUGACGGGGUCAUAGCUGUUUCCU